rnacentral:rRNA from 1 species
GAUGAACGCUGGCGGCGUGCCUAAUACAUGCAAGUCGAGCGAACAGACGAGGAGCUUGCUCCUCUGACGUUAGCGGCGGACGGGUGAGUAACACGUGGAUAACCUACCUAUAAGACUGGGAUAACUUCGGGAAACCGGAGCUAAUACCGGAUAAUAUAUUGAACCGCAUGGUUCAAUAGUGAAAGACGGUUUUGCUGUCACUUAUAGAUGGAUCCGCGCCGCAUUAGCUAGUUGGUAAGGUAACAGCUUACCAAGGCAACGAUGCGUAGCCGACCUGAGAGGGUGAUCGGCCACACUGGAACUGAGACACGGUCCAGACUCAUACGGGAGGCAGCAGUAGGGAAUCUACCGCAAUGGGCGAAAGCCUGACGGAGCAACGCCGCGUGAGUGAUGAAGGUCUUCGGAUCGUAAAACUCUGUUAUUAGGGAAGAACAAAUGUGUAAGUAACUAUGCACGUCUUGACGGUACCUAAUCAGAAAGCCACGGCUAACUACGUG